CACGUAGGCGGAUAUUUAAGUCAGGGGUGAAAUCCCAGAGCUCAACUCUGGAACUGCCUUUGAUACUGGGUAUCUUGAGUAUGGAAGAGGUAAGUGGAAUUCCGAGCGUAGAGGUGAAAUUCGUAGAUAUUCGGAGGAACACCAGUGGCGAAGGCGGCUUACUGGUCCAUUACUGACGCUGAGGUGCGAAAGCGUGGGGAGCAAACA
rnacentral:rRNA from 1 species